ACAUUAUAUGACUUCUAUAUAUCUUAGACUGUUGGUGAUAGGUCAAAAUGUUAAAAGGCUAAAUUUGUGGAUUCUGGUAAUAUUCAGCUAUUUUUCCCCCUCCGAUCAGGGCUAUCUUUUUAUUGAGUAAUAGAAUUUUAUUAAAGAGUAAAAGGUGCACCCAAGUAAACAGGCUGAUCAGGAUAACAUAGAUUACUGGAUCGCUUGUUAUAAGCGUGGGGUUCCAAUUGGAUCUCAGAAUCCAUGAUAAAUUGAGAUUAAAAAGAUGGACAAGGGAGAAACAUACUCGUACUGGAUAUUUUUCUUUAGGUGGCACUUCAUAAACAAGCUAGCUUAAGUUGAUUAUUUUAUAUUUAUCUAUUUCCGUACAAGAAAAAUUACAUUUGUUUAUAAAAUAUAUGGAAACUUCUUAGAGCCCUUAAGGAUCCAACAUUAAUGGUUUGAAUUGUAAUCUUAUCUUCAUGUACAUGAGUUAAUUUGUAAGAUAUUGUGUAGUUGAAGGGAAUUAGGCUCAAAAUCAACUAACUAUGAGGGCAGCUCUAGUCGAGAAAGAUCCAAAGGGAAGGGGCUAGCUUCUUCUUUAUGAAGCCCAAAAUUAUUUCUUGGAAUGUUCGAGGGCUCAACAAGGCCAAUAAUCAUCUUUGUAUAAAAAUUUUGUUCGUGAGUGGAAGGUGGACAUGGUAUGUUUGCAGGAAACUAAGUUGAAAUCUAUUAUGAGAAGAAUUGUUUGAAGUAUUUGGAGCUGUCCAUAUGUGGAUUGGGCUUAUCUAGCAUCGGAUGGAGUUUUAGGAGGUGUUUUAGUGAUGUUUGGAUAGAAGGGUGGUGGAGAAAAUGGAGGAAUUCAUAGUGGCAUGUUCAUUUAAGAGUGUGGAAGAUAACUUCUUGUGGGCUUUUGCUGGUAUUUACGGGCCGAAUUUGGAUAGUGGUUUUUAUGAGAAUAAUUAGCUAGAGUCCAUAGCUGGUGGGACCUGCCAUGGUGCAUAGGUGGAAAUUAUAAUGUUAUAAGGUUUCCAAGUGAAUGUUCAAGAGAAAGCAGGCUACGACCAGCAAUGGUAGUAUUCUUGGAGUGUAUUUUUGACUUGAGUUGGAUAUUCCUCUCAUGGGGGGAGCAUUCACGUGGUCCAAUAAUCAGACUUGGUCUAGAUUGGACAGAUUUUUAGUCUCAUCGAAAUGGGAAAUUCACCAUCCAAACGUAUGUCAAAGGAGGCUGCCUCGCCUUUACUUGGAUCAUUUUCCUAUAUUGUUCAAUUGUAGUGGUAUCCAAGAAGGGAGUGUUACUUCAAGUUUGAAAAUAUGUGGUUGAAAUUGAAGGUUUUGUGGAUAGGGUCAGGCAAUGGUGGUCCUCAUUUCAAAUUCAUGGCGGCCCUAGCUUUAUAUUUGCAAGUAAACUAAAAGCUUUAAAAAAAUGAUUUAAAGCUUUGGAACUCUCCCCUUUGGUGACAUAGGUGAACGGAAGAAAUCCAUACUGGAUGAGCUUCAGGAGUUAGAGAGGUUACAGGAGGGCUGAUUUCUAUUCUCAGAAGAAUUUUCUUGGAAGGCGAAGUUGGUAUCAGAAUUAGAGAGGGUUUAUCUUGUUGGAAGAAAUAUAUUGGCACCAAAAAUCAAGAGUUUUGUGGUUAAAAGAAGGGAUCAAAGUACGAAGUUUUCCGUAGAGUGGCUAACUCUUAUGGUAAUCAAUAACAUUGAAAUGCUAAAUAUAGUUGGUGUGGCUUGUACGGAGGUCCCUGUUGUUCAAGAAUGUGUGGCAGGUUUUUUUGCACAUUUGCUUACCGAGCAAGAGGGGUGGCGGCCAAAGCCAGAUGGACUAGGUUUAUAGUCGUUGAGCUGCAUAUUGUCUCUUGGUUGGAGAGGUCAUUCGAGGAGUUGGAGGUUCAUGGAGUGGUGAGGAAAAUGGUAAAAGACAAAGCACCAGGUCCAGAUGGUUUUUCUAUGGGAUUCUUCCAAUCAUGUUGGGAGGUGGUGAAGGAGGAUCUAAUGAAGGUGUUCCAGGAAUCGUUCUCAGUUGGAAAAUUUGAGAAAAACCUUAAUGCCACAUUUAUUGAAUUGAUUCCUAAGGAAAGACCAAGGCAUCGGAGGUUAAGGAUUUUUGGCCUAUUAGGAGAUGUUUGGUAAUAAUUCUCAUCUCAUCUCAUCUCCUACCCAAACACUACUCAAACACAAACACUUUAAAACUAAUCAUUACAACUUUUCCAACUUUUAAAUAAAAAAUAAUUCAACUUUUUCAAAUCCUAAAAUAAAAAUAAUAUUAAAAAAUUCUAUUCUAAUAAUAUUUUAAUUUUAUAAUAUUUUUUAUUCGAAUUUUUCUUUUUCCUUUUCCAAAAUCUAAAAAAUACUUAACUUAAACUAUCUCACCACUAUUUUCAAAUCAUCUUACUACAUCUCAUUCCCCAAGCAUCCCCUUAGUAUUGUGAAUGGGGUUUAUAAGAUAAUCUACAAGGUGCUUGCAAAUCGCAAGAGAGGUACUGGGAAAAACUAUCACAAAACCCCAAAAUACAUUUGUACUUUACCUAUGCAAUACAUGUAUCCUAUGCAAGUUGGAUAUGGAGAAGAUGUAUAAUCACGUUAAAUGCAACUUUCUACUUUACCUACUUGAGAGAUGUGGUUUUGGAGAGAGAUGGUGUUUGUGGAUGAGAUGGUGCAUUUCAACGGCAAAAUUUUCAAUUUUGGUGAAUGGUAGCCCACUUGGUUUCUUCAACAGCUCCGGAGGUCUAAAACAAGGAGAUUCGUUGUCCCCACUACUCUUCGUUAUGGUAAUGGAGGCGCUUAGUAGAAUGAUCUCAUAUUUGGUCAUUAAUGGCUUCGUGAAUAGAUUCUCAGUUGGGGACACAGGAAUAUUCUUAACAUUUUCCAUUUGUUGUUUGUAGAUGAUACACUAUAUUUUUUGAGGCAGAUCAAAAUCAAGGUCGGGCACUAAGGGCACUUCUACUCUGUUUUGAAGUGGUAUCAGGUUUGUAAAUGAAGUUUGGCAAAAUAGAGUUGGUGCCAGUUGACAAUAUUCUUAAUAUCCAGCACCUAGCUAACAACACUCUUGGAUGGUGAUUAUAAUAGAUUGGUGCUGUAUGUGUAAGAAAACUGGCAAGACUGUGGAUCAUCUCUUACUGCAUUGUGAGCUUGCUAGAGCAUUAUGGGAUGAAGUUUUUCCGCCUCAGUGGUAGCAAUGUUGACCAGCUGGACAAAUCUAGGAGGUAUCCCACAAAUCAAAGCUAUGUGGAAAAUGGUUCCUAUCUAUAUUUUGUGGUGUCUGUGGUAGGAGCGAAAUGAUUGGACGUUCGAAGACAAGAAGCACACAACAGAGGAACGUAUAUCUCUUUUUAUUAGAACUCUAUUUCUAUGGGCCAUAUCUGUAGAUUUUAAUGGCCUUGAUGUUCAUGACUUUUUUGUAUCCUAUGUUUCUUUCUAGAUUAGUGUUCUCUCUUUUAUACCAUCUUUUGUAUUGGGGCUAUGCCUAUUAUUAUUAAUACAAUCAUUUACUUAUAAGAAAAAGACGGUAUUACACAA